rnacentral:rRNA from 1 species
GAUGAACGCUGGCGGCGUGCCUAAUACAUGCAAGUCGAGCGAACGGACGAGAAGCUUGCUUCUCUGAUGUUAGCGGCGGACGGGUGAGUAACACGUGGAUAACCUACCUAUAAGACUGGGAUAACUUCGGGAAACCGGAGCUAAUACCGGAUGAUAUUUUGAACCGCAUGGUUCAAAAGUGAAAGACGGUCUUGCUGUCACUUAUAGAUGGAUCCGCGCUGCAUUAGCUAGUUGGUAAUGUAACGGCUUACCAAGGCAACGAUGCAUAGCCGACCUGAGAGGGUGAUCGGCCACACUGGAACUGAGACACGGUCCAGACUCUUACGGGAGGCAGCAGUAGGGAAUCUUCCGCAAUGGGCGAAAGCCUGACGGAGCAACGCCGCGUGAGUGAUGAAGGUCUUCGGAUCGUAAAACUCUGUUAUUAGGGAAGAACAUAUGUGUAAGUAACUGUGCACAUCUUGACGGUACCUAAUCAGAAAGCCACGGCUAACUACGUG